AUAGUUGUUGCAAAUUUCUUUUUUGUUUUUUGUUUUUUUUCCCCAGGAGGCAACUGAUCUUUCUUAAAGCGUGGCAUUGGGCAUAUAAGCAAAUUUAUAGGCAAUUCUUUCAAAGGAUACGCAUGUAAAUAUAACUAUUUACAGUUUCUUAACACAGGGAGCUUUUCCACAAGGGAAUAGUUGCAAGGAAACCCACAACUGAAAGCACAUUCAAAUCGUGUCCAACAAUGACAGCUUUUUAUCAUUUAGUCAGAGUUUUCUCCAAACGUUUUUUUUUUUCACUCCCACCCAUCGUCCCGUCUUUAUCUUUCUUUGUUGUUUUAAAAUAUGCAUGUCUCUCCGGAAUGCUAGUCACGGGUCCAAACUUUGCGUCCAACCUCCCACAUGAAAUGAUCCCCCUUAAAGGGGGCUCAAUAUGUCUCAAUCUGCACUUCAGUUCACUCAAAGCAUUUGGGUACAGGGGACAGACUCCAGAAAAGCAUAAAUUAAAGGACAAGUCACGGAAGAGCGACUUUAUCAACACGUCAUGGCGAAGAGUGGACUCAGCCACAGCAAGAUUUUGAAGUAGCCUAUUGCGCAGAUGUCCUCCAAAAAAAGACCAAUUAACGGCGAUGGGUUCACUUUUUGUUACCUUGAACCGGUGGUGAACUCCUGAUCAACGAGAGCGACUCAUACUGAUCCCAGCCACGGGGUCAGCCACAGUGCGUCUCCGAGCAGAUAUGCAAAUGCGCCGAGCCCCUGUGGCGACCCUGCGGGAGCUCCGCCCCUGCCGGCGACAUCACCUUUGAUGAGGGUUCACAAGCAUGCCUCACUAAUGACCCUUUAUUACUCUACCUUGCCAUCUCUUAAUUGCCAAGAUGUGUUGAGUGUAAUCAAUAGUGUAUGUGUGCCACGGCGUGUCUCAGUUACGUCAUUUGCUCGCAUAGACACACAAAGAAUAGGGGAAGAGGACAGCCGUGUCUGGCUAGCUCACAAAUUAAAUGAAUGCCAUUUAAAGAGAUGGCCAUCAAUUAAAUGUCAUCUUUCAAUAAAGAGAGCAAUGUCUACUCCGCAUAAAAGUAGGAAAAGUCUCUUGUUCUGGUGUUCCUUCAGUUUUUUUCUUUUUUUUCACAGUUUUUUUCUCUUCACCUGGGGGAUUUUUUUUAAGUUCUUUAAAUUGGAGGGAUAUAAGGCUGAUAAUUUCUUUAAUGUCUUACAAAUAAUGGCACGCUACUAUUAAAAAUCCAUUAACAUGCAAUUGGGAAACAGAUUAUUAAAGCCACGACAAAACUUUAUGCUGCAAUUACAAUACACAGAAAUGAUGACAAUAAACAAAAUGAAUUUUUACCUAAUUACUUGCAUACAAAUGCUUUUAUAUAUUUCCUAAGGUAAAAUGUUAUUAAUCAUUUUUUUUUUUCAGUUUGGAAUUCAAUUUUAUUUUUCAAAAUGCACUGGCUAAUAAAUAAAGUGUUGUAUGUUUCAGAUAAAAAUGGAUUAUAUUUAUAAAAUUACACUUAUACAUAUUUAUAUCUUUUUUUCAUGUUUAAAACAGUAAAAAAUUACAGACAAAAGCUAAUAAGCAAAUAAAUAAGUUAAAACACAGAGACUGACAGUAUAAGAAAGUACUGAAGUAUUAAAUUUGAAAAUUAGGUAAUACCCAAAUUCCCAAAGGUAAAUUUUAUUGUAGAUAUUGCAGAAAAUCACAUAAAAUUACAAGUACAAACACACUGUUGUGCUUUCUGUAAGCAUCAUAAUUAUGAAUACUACACAUGCAAUUGUGUAUACACACACACAAGAUUUUGAAAUCCUCAUCUUCAACAACGCACCUCACAGUAAGAGCACAAACACUCUGCCAUUUGACCAGUGUAUUUGUCAUAAUGAAGCUUCAUAUUUCACUACCCCGUUAAGACAUCUUCCAGAUGCAGAUCAAAUCUUUAUAAUGAACCAUUACAUUAUUCAGCUGGAUACCUUUGAGGGUAAUUUAGUAGUUCUUUGAUCUCACUGUGACAAAUAGUGUUUGAAACAUUGUCCCGGUGACAAACACACACUCUCUCUCCCUCACACACAGACACACUCAGACAAACACAAGCACUCUUUCAACAUUUAUGUCAACAAUAAAUCAAGGAAGACAGGGUUUAGCUAUCGGCAAUUCCUUUUUCUCCCUUCACCAGAAGCGUUACAAAUGGUAAUCGUGUGUGAUGGUGAAAUGCUCAUGAGCGAACGAUGCUCAAGUGAAUGAGCAGUCAAAGCACCGCCGCAAGUAACACUUGGAGAGAGUAAAAAAAUAUCAAAGUGUGCUGAUUGUAAUUGGUCUCCAUCUGUAGCGUGGCAUUCAGUCGUGUCUCCUAAUUGACUGGCAUAUUCUAUUUAUUUGUCGAAAUUAUUUGAUUUCAUUGCAAGACAUUUUUCAUGUUGUAAUUACACCGUUGUUGAAAAAUUACAGUAUCUGCUGUUCUAGUAAUUAAAAUAUUUCAACCUCUAA